rfam:Danio rerio chromosome 6, GRCz11 reference primary assembly.
GGUAGCAUGGCCAAGUGGUCUAAUUCAUUGGAUUAAGGCUCCAGUCUCUUUGGGGGCGUGGCUUCGAAUCCCACCGCUGCCA